rnacentral:rRNA from 1 species
UACGGGGGGGGCAAGCGUUGUUCGGAAUUACUGGGCGUAAAGGGCUCGUAGGCGGCCAACUAAGUCAGACGUGAAAUCCCCAGGCUUAACCUGGGAACUGCGUCUGAUACUGGAUGGCUUGAAUUCGGGAGAGGGAUGCAGAAUUCCCGGUGUAGCGGUGAAAUGCGCAGAUAUCGGGAGGAACACCAAUGGCGAAAGCAGGUAACUGGACUAUUACUGACACUCAACUGCGAAAGCUAGGGGAGCAAACAGG